rnacentral:rRNA from 1 species
UACGUAGGUGGCAAGCGUUGUCCGGAUUUAUUGGGCGUAAAGGGAGCGCAGGUGGUUUCUUAAGUCUGAUGUGAAAGCCCACGGCUCAACCGUGGAGGGUCAUUGGAAACUGGGGAACUUGAGUGCAGAAGAGGAAAGUGGAAUUCCAAGUGUAGCGGUGGAAUGCGUAGAUAUUUGGAGGAACACCAGUGGCGAAGGCGACUUUCUGGUCUGUAACUGACACUGAGGCUCGAAAGCGUGGGGAGCGAACAGG